GAAAAAUGGGACCCAAAGAAAAACAAUUUUACAUUGUAUAAGAAUUGCCAUUUUGUGUUGCCAAACAUGCUGUGCUAAGCAACUGUUGGUGGAUGCAGAGGCAGGGUGUUCCCACGGAAGAAGCAUUUCUCACAUGACAUGGAGUCUCAAGGUAAAAUGGAGUCUGUUUGGUUAUUGUCCUUAUAGCCUGUCCCAUAACAACAUGGCCAUCUUUAGUGACCCAGCAGGGAGGUGCUUAACAGAAUAAAUAUCCCUGCUUCUUGCUGCUUCCUCCUUGCUGGGGGGCACCAGCCAAUUGCUGACCAUAGGGGUCAGCCUCCUGAGUUAGAGAGAAGGAGAACUAGAGAGAGAAAAUUGAGGACAACAAGCACCCAGAGGAAGGUGGGCAAGUCGAUGACUAAAAUCUGUGGAUAGAAGCUGCUAAAGCGGGGAUGGGGUGAUGACGCUGGUUUCAUAGGAAGCCUGAGAUGCUGACUCAAGAAGUUAUACAAUAGUUUUGUGUUCACAGUGAAUACAGCAAAUGCAAUUCUAAAACAAAUGGAAAUGAUCAUUCUAAGGUUCUAAGAAUCUGGUUAUUUUAAGGUUUCUUUUAGACUGGGAUAAUAAAAAUGAUUCUAUGCUUAUUUAUUUAUUUAUUUUUGGUAUUGGGGAUUUAACCCAGUGAUGCUUUACCACUGAGUCACAUCACCUUGAACUUGCCAUCCACCUGUCUCAGCCUCCCACAUUGCUGGGAUUACAGGAAUCCUCCACCAUCUCAGCUUGAUCCAAUAUUUACGGAAUAGAAAGUCAAAUAAGUUAAUGCCUUGGCAGAGGUACUAGAGACCUAUUUUUUUUCCACCCCCAUGUUUUGUUUUCUUUGUUUUUAGUAAAACGAACACUGGAAAACUCAUGGUUAAGCUGCAAAAAUCCCAAUACACAAAAAUAUUUAUCAUAAUAAAGGGCAAAUGUUGGAAGAAACCAUUUCUUAACAGUAGGGAAAUAGUAAGGAAGAUGGCAGUAUAUUUCUUUAGGGCAAUCUUUGUAGGAUAAUACAAUUAUGAAUUCAAGGAAUUAGGGGUUAGGAGUGUUUCUUGAUUAUAUAACAUUUUUCUAGCAGGCAAAGGGCUCGGGGUUCAAUUCCCAGCACCACAAAAAGAGACAAACAAGCAAACAACCCAAGAAAUUAUGAAACAGCAUAAAAUGCAUACAACAUAAGGUGGAAAAUCAGGAUUCAAAAUUUCAUAUGUACUCCAUUCCUAAUUUUUAAAAAGGCGUAUGAAAAAGGCAAAUGAAAUGAUCAGAAAUUAAAAUAGGCCGGGUGUGGUGGAACAAUCCUGCAAUCCCAGUGGCUCAGGAGGCUGAGACCGGAGUUCAAAGCCAGACUCAGCAACUCAGUGAGACCCUGUCUCUAAAUAAAAUACAAAAUAGGGCUAGUGAUGUGUCUCAGUGGUUGAGUGUCCCUGAGUUCAAUCCCCAGUAUCCCUCUCCCCCGCAAAAAAGAAAUUAAAAGAGUUUUAUUAAGUGAUAAAACAAUUAAAGAUGUGUUAGCUUUUUAUCUCUGUGGACAAAAUACCUGACAAGAAUAGCAUAAAGGAGGAAAAGUUUAUUUUGGGUUCACAGUGUCAGAGAUUCCAUCCAUGGUCAGGGACUCACUCCAUUUUUCUAGGGAUAGGCAAUGGUGGAACUUCAUGGCAGAACAUGAUGGCAGAAAAAAGCUGUUCACCCCAUGAUUGCCAGGAAAGAGAGAGAGAGAGAGAGAGAGAGAGAGAGAGAGAGNAUGUAGCCAGUGACCUACUUCCUCCAGCCACCCCCAAUCUGCCCACAGUUACCACCCAGUAGUACAUUCAAAUUAUUAAUCCAUGAAAUGGAGUAAUCCACUGUUGAGGUUAUAGAUCUCAUCAUUACCUAAAAGCCCCACCUCUGAAUCUUGCUGCAUUGGAUUUCAUGCUUUCAAAAUAUGAGUUUUUCAGGAGGCAUUUCUAGAUCUAAAUCAUAAUAGAAUAUCAUUUUCUUUCUUUCUUCUUUUUCUUCUUCUUCUUUUUUUUUUUUUUUUCAAUACUGAAGAUUGAAUCUAGGGUUUUGCAUAUUCAUGGCAAGCAUCCUACCACUAAGCGGCAACCUCAGCCCUUUUUAAAAAUGAGUUUAGGGCUGGGGUUGUGGCUCAGUGGUAGAGUGCUUGCCUAGCAUGCGUGAGGCACUGGGUUUCAUUUCCCAGCACCACAUUUAAAAAAAUAAAUAAAUAAACAAAUAAAAGUAUUGUGUCCAUCUACAACUAAAAAUAUAUAUUUUUUAAAUUAAUUAAUUUAUAUUUUAAAUUUUGAGACAGGGUCUCACUAGGUUGCCCCAGCCUACCUCUAAUUUGUGAUCAUCCUGAUCCAACCUCCUGAGUAGCUGGGAUUAUAGGUGUGUACUGGCAGAUUAUUGUUUAAUUUUCCAAGUAUUCUAUAAUGUAAGAUCAUAUUUUAUUUAAUUAUUUUAAUAUAUUAAGUAUUUAAAUGUGUUUGUUUGUUUAAUUAAUCUGCAUUUAUGUAUUUUAAUUUUUUUGCAGUGCUUGGGAUCACUGAGCUAUAUUCCCAUCCCUAUAUUUAAUUUUUAUUUUAGGUACUAGGGGUUGAAGCCAGAGGUGCUUAACCACUGAGCCAAAUCUGCAGCCUUUUUAAUUUUUUUUAAAUUUUGAGAAACAGGGUUUCACUAAAUUACUUAGGGCCUCACUAAGUUGCUCAGGCUGGCUUUGAACUUGUAAUCCUCCUGCCUUGGCCUCCAGAGCUGCUGGGAUUACAGGUGUGUGCCACUGUUCUGGGUUUAGAUUUAGUUUUUAAUUACAAUAAAAAUGUACCUUUUGGAGAACUGAACUUUUUCUGAAUCUUGAUAUGGAUGGAAGUUUGCCUGGAUGUACACAUAAUAAAAAUUCAUCAAAGUACAUAUGUAUGCUUAAUGUAAUCAUGAAUGUUUAUAUAUGUUGUAACAACGAAAGAGUUUUUAAAAUUGUAAUCCAAAAAAACAUCAUCUAAAGUAUAUUGAAAGCCAGGUGCAAUGGCUCACUCCUAAAAUUUUAGUUAUUUAUGAGGUUGAAGUAAGAGGAUUUUGAGUUGGAGGCCAACCUGAGCAAUUUAGUGAGACCCUCACCUCUAAAUAGGUAAAUAAAAACAAAGUAUACUGAAUAAAUGAAGUUGCUUAUAAUUCUUUCUGUACUUACAUCCUGCAUUUUAUCAAUACAACACAGUAUAAUAUUCCUGAUUUUUAAGCCAGGUGUGGUGGUGUAUGCCUGUAACCUGGCAACUCAGGAGGCUGCGGGAGGAGAAUCACAAGUUCAAGGCCAGCCUCAGUAAUUGUUUCUGAAAUACAAUCCUGAGAUUCAGAUGUGCCAGCUGUUCUGUGCGUCUUUAAAAUGCUAGGUCUUGGGACUAGGUAGAAUGGUAGAGUGCUUGCUUAGCUAUCUAUCUGUGAGGGCUUGGGUUCAAUCCCCAGCAUUACAAAAAUAAAAGAAAAGAAGGUGGCAGAGUGCCGCAGUCUGGCUGGGCACAAAAUCACGAGCCACUCAAGCAGGAACAAACUUUAUUUUUUUGAAACUGCUGCCAAUGUCCGGUACACACCCGGGAAGAUUUCUGAUCCACCCACUCGGCCUCCUCCCGAACCGCCAGAGAGAGUUUAUCCCCCGGAACUCCCUCCUACUGUACUUCCCCAACCAAUGGGAACUCUCCAGGAGUCCGGUAGCAGGCCGAGGUGAACAGCAGGAGUCCAAUAUCCAUAUGAAUGUAAAUCUUAACAUAAUCAUAUCAUCUCAAUGGCUAGCUGGCAUCACCUUUCAACCAAAAAUACCAUGCAUCAUAUACUUGGCUCUUAGCAUCAGAGAGGGAAGGAAGGAAGCUAGGUCUCAAGAAUCUUCUCAAUGGAAGCUUUUUGUUUUAAAUCCCAGGCUUUUGAGGUCCAUUUUAAGGUUUUAGUCACUAUUCUGUAAGGGUCCUACAAAACGUCGGAGAAAGAGACCACCAAGUGACCACUCAUGCAAUUGGCAGAAGGGGAUUUAUUGAACCAGCAUGCUGGGGCUCCAUGCCCACUCAAGAAGGGAAAGCAGCCCAGAGCCCCGAGCAGGGGCUGAGCACUGCUUAAGUAUACUUUUUGGGGAGGGCAGAGGGCUUUGUAUACAUCAGAACAAAUCAUCAUGAGGCACGGGAAAAUUGAACAACAACUCCUAAACAUGAUUAGUUCAUUCAUUGGCUGGAACAGGUCAGGCUGGAGUGAUAGGUCAUUUCUAAACGGGGUACACAUUCAAACUGAUUGGUUCAGGCCCUGCAAGGCCUACGUGCAACCACACAGACCCCUUCAGUUAUUAAACAACCAGACAAUCAGGGGAAAUGUUUACUGGGCAGUUCUAAGCAUUGUCUUAACAGCUACAGAAAUUUCAGAUUUUGCAGGUAGCAUAGAAACCUAACAAUACCUCCUUUACAUUUUAACUCAGACCUUGCAGCUUAGAAACUUUUACAAUACCCGGUCUUUUACCCUUUAACUUUUACGCUUUAACUUCAAUUUCUUUUACCCUUACAAUUCUAGCUAGUCAUUAUUGGUGAAAGUACCUAUGAUACCUCAGAUUCUGGGUAGCAAUCUUUUCCAAAGGCCACUCAACUGGAGAUACUUCCUGAUGAAUAAGUAAGUAUGUCUUAAUUAAACAAAAGGUGAAUCUCUGGAAUCGAUUUCAUGUACAGCUUAGCUCUCUACGACCUGGAACAGUACCCAUUUGGAGAUGUCAUGUAUAGGUGUCAAAUGAGAAGUAUUGUAUAAUUUUCCCACUGUAUCAAAGGCUUGGUAUCCAGUGUGGGUGUAAGAUUUUAUCACUAUUUUUGUGGAGAAGGCCUCUAGGUCAACCAGUAGAGUGUGAGAAUAUCAUGACUGAUUUCCUGCAGCCUUUUAAGAGAAGGCGGGGGAAAAGAGAACAGUUCUCCCUAAUGUAAGUCAUCAUCAUCAUCAUCAGUGACAUUGCAUGUAGGUGACCUUGCUCAAGGACCAGGGCGGAUCCGGGUUUAGAGUGUUCCUGGUUUAAGACAAUCCGGGUUUAGGGUGGUUCCAGGUUUAAGGUUAUUGCUGCUGGGAAUAGGGCGUAUCCUGCUGCCUGAGUUCCCCUUGAGUUCUCAUGGGAUCAGACAGUAUUUUUUGGGAGACAGAAUCCCAGCGGGGGUGGAUUUGGGCAGAGAACGUGUGGAUUUCCCCAGAACGUGAUUGUAGAGUGCUGGUGUGAGUUCGGGAAUAAAGAGUUGCUGUUUGAAUCUACAAGCUGUGUGG
rnacentral:lncRNA from 1 species